rnacentral:rRNA from 1 species
GACGAGGGGUCCAAGCGUUGUUCGGAAUCAUUGGGCGUAAAGCGGGUGUAGGCGGCUCUAUAAGUCAGAAGUGAAAGCCCCGAGCUUAACUUGGGAAGUGCUUUUGAUACUGCAGAGCUUGAAUGUGGGAGAGGGUAGUGGGAAUUCCAGGUGUAGUGGUGAAAUACGUAGAUAUCUGGAGGAACACCGGUGGCGAAGGCGGCUACCUGGCCCCAACAUUGACGCUGAGACCCGAAAGCAUGGGGAUCAAACAGG